rnacentral:tRNA from 1 species
GUCCUAGAAGCUACAAUUCAGCACCGGUCUUGUAAACCGGAGACUGGGCACCCGCCCCUAAGACU